AUGUACCCGGACGGCUCGCACGCGCUGGGACACCACCGCUUCCUCCAGCGGGGCCGCCCCCCCUGCGUCCCCUGUGAGUACGACUGUCACAGGAGAGACGUCCGGGCCCCGCCGCCCCCUCAGCGCAGCCCACAGAGGAGGCCUGUGUUGGCGGGGCCCGGCCCCUGGAGCCAAACAUGCGUCUGGGAGGUGAACCCGGCGCUGUGGGGCCGCCCGGCGCCGCCCGCAGGGACACACUGCUCCUCUGUCAGCCAACACUGCGGCUGUGUAGCAGACAGGUACGACGGGGGGCCCGCCCUCUACAGCGGGAUACCGCACCCUCUGCCCCAUCUUCAGGUCAAAGGUCACGGGUACAGGCGGAGACGGACCAUCAGGUAUCUGUCCAUGGACGAGGAGGAAGGCUGUGGAUGUUCUUCCGGAAGCUACCAGGUGGCAAACGGGCACUGCGGAGCGGGGGAGGGAGGGGCGCACAGGGAUAACCAUCAGGAGCCGGAGAGGCUGGAGGCGGGAUCAAAGGAGGGAUGUGAGGCUUCUCAUGAGCGCUUCUUCUCCACGGAGGUUCCUCAGAAUCAUCUGAACCACAGCAGGAGGAAGGGAACCUGCAACCUUCCCACCUGCUCGGAGACCUCCCCGUCCACCAACGUCUGCCAGCGGCGGCGUUCCGAGGAGACGCGGCAGAGGAGGAGGAAGCCGACGGUCCGGGAUCAGAUCCGGCAAGUGGUGACAGAUCUGGAGGACGUGCUGGGGGGGUUGAAGCAAGUUCACGUGGAGAUGAAAGAGGUGGUGGACCAGAUCGAUCGCCUCACAGCAGACAUCCACCUGGAGGUGCCGGCCCUCCCCCAGGGACCGUCCAAUCACCUUCACGGCUCUGCUCCUGCAGGAGACCUGAGGGUCGCCCUGUUAGCUAAUCACAAGCCCGCUUCAGGUCAGGCCCCCCAACCCAACGACGAGGACCGCGUCAUCCUCCGAACAAACGGCCCCUCCCCCGUCCACAUGGCAUCAGUUGUCAAAACCAACAGCUUCGUCCCCCCCAGCCUCAACAGGGACACGAGCCAGGAACGGCUCAGUGUAAACGGACACCUCCCUCAUCUGAACCCGAAGCGAGCCCCCAACCACACCGACCCCCCCCAGACCCUGGAGCCAAAGGUCAUCAUCGAGAACGGCCCCUCCAAGCCCCAAACGCAGAAGCCCCCCCCGUAUCCUCAGAACGGCAGAUGUGGGAGGGGCCCCCAGCCUCAGACCCGGCCUGCAAAGCCCCCCGCCCACCCUGUCAGAGGACGCCAGAGCACCAGCAUGGUGUAGGGGGGCCUGACCCGUGAGGCUCCUCCGUGACGGGCGGAGGUGGGCGGGGCCCCGGCGGGGGCCGCCUGUCAGUAAGUGACGUUCUGUUGAUGUUUCUGUGAUGACGUCGGCGUGUUUACUGGCAGCUCGCUUCAAAGGCAGAAACGAGCUGCAGCGUGCGGCGUGGGGGGGGGGGGUGUCUGUGUGUGGGCGGGGGGGGGGUGUCUCUCUCUCUCUCUCUCUCCUCUGUCUGUCCUGGACGAGCAGCAGCAGCUUCUGUCAGAGAUGCUCCACAUGUGGAUGUAAUCAGCAGAGGAGGGAAAACUUCCCUCCUGACUGAAGCGCUUUCCUUCCAGGAGUCCGGUGAGGAAUUCUGUCGGGAAAAGCAACAUUUGAAGAGGAAUUCUGUGUCGGGAAAAGCAACAUUUGAAGAGGAAUUCUGUGUCGGGAAAAACAAAAUCUGAAGAGGAAUUCUGUGUCGGGAAAAGCAACAUCUGAAACAUUUCACUCUGGAGAGGAGCUUGAAGAUCCUCGUUCUGCAGCUCUUUAGGCAGGUUGAUUAGUUUGUAUCUGAUGAAGUCAAACAAAGUUCUGCUGCUGUCGUGAGUGAAGACGUCCCGUCUGCCCCCCCCCGCAGCAGGAGCGGGAACAGCUCCUCUGAUGCUGCAGAGCCGUGGGAGUUCAGGGCCUCCCUCUCGUGCAGAAAAUGCGGAACUGCAGUCUAUUUUUCUGGGCCCUCUGGUUGGGUAAGCGCAGUCUGGUUUCAAUCAUAAACCCCCCUCCGCCGCGUGCCAGAGCCCAGCGAACGCCGGGUACGUCUGUGAGCGCCGUGAACCGCCGCCGCCGGCAGAGGCACGCUCCGAGGCUGGCGGGCGGACAGAACCGGAAUCAGCUCCGCUGGAGAGUUUCUGUCGGCAUUUUAGAUCCUUUCAGUCCCUCAGAGCGCAGGUUCAAUGCUAACAGGACACGUUGCUAAGCAACCACAGUAUGCACUGCAAGCGACCCCCCCCCCACUGCUUCAGCAUCAAAAGAUUCCACAUUUAUGUAUUUUAACUGCAAAAACUGAGAAAACACAGAUUCGCAUUAAUGUAACAUUAAAAGAGACGAUUUUGUUCAAAAUUAACUUUUAGGAUUUUGUGUCCAUUAAAACAUUUUUUAUAAAGAUGUAGACUUAAAAUAUUAACAAUAACUUAAUUUGAUCAGAAUGAUCAUUUUAUUUAUAUAAAAACAGCAACACAUACUAGUUAUUUUCAAAAUAAAAGACUUCCUGAGCUGCAGAUUGAUCUGAACUUAAACUCAGAAUUUUAUAUCUACGUGACUUUGGUGCACCUUCACACCUUUCUCCUUUUAAUAUAAAAUAUGAACAAGAAUAUCUUAUUUUCUUUAAAAUCUAAAUGUGCUUUAAGUAGAAUCAACCUGUUAACAUCAUUCUAAUCAUUUAUCUGACAUCUAAAUCUAAACUUAACCCCACUUAACAUCUGAAUUUAUUUCUAGCUAAUAAAAAUAUAUUCACUUUGCUUUUUUCUUUUAAGUAAAUGCUACAUGUAGGUCAUUGUAUUAUUAUUAUUCGGGCAUUAAGGGGUUAAUUACCUAAAAACAAAUGAACAAGAACCACAAACCCAUUAAUUAUUCAACCAUUAGCCACAAUGGACCAAUGAAUAAUAGAUAUUUAUUCAUGUUUUGUGGUAAAUACUCCUCAACUCUUUGGAUGACAUUUAAUCAUCUCUGUUCCACAUAUUUAUCUGAAUUAUUAAUAGAGUUUAUUUUAUUUAAACACAGAUCUGAGUUAUUGGAAGGGAAUUAAACCUAAUAAAUGUAAACAAACCAAAAAAAUGAGGAAAGUUUGGUUAAUAUAUUUGUCUGAGAUAUUUUAUUUUCAGACAAAUUUAAAAGAAAGACCGAAAAAAAAAAUUUAACAUAAAUAUCAUAAAAGGAGUGAGAAAAUCUAAAUGUUUCAUACAUUCUCAUCCACUGUCUCUUCUGGUGAAGAGUACACGUUCAGGUACUCAUAUAAACACGUUGAAGUAUGCAUAUAGAAAAAUAAACAGAAAAACAUCCGACGACCCAUUUGUGAUUGUCACAAACGAGCAGACAGCUGGUUCCACCUGCAGCAGGUGUGUUAGCUAAAAGUCCACAAAGCUAAAUCAGGGUCAGACAGGCAGAGGUCAAUCAUGAACAUGGGGUCAUGUGCGCUGGGGUUGCUGGGAGAUGCAGUGACUUCAGCACUCCACCAGAGGGGGGAGACAGACCUCUGACUCCUGAUAGUGAUGUAUAAACACUCAUUUGGUUCCAUUUUAAAUCUCAUUCUCCAACAAAUGCAGUUUUGUCUGUUUUCUUAACCCGUUGUGUCUCUUUCAGGCUCACCAGAGCCAAACCCGGAUACUAAAGCAGUUUCACUACUGCAUGAUUCUGAUUUAUAUUCAUAUAUAUCACUGUUUAUUUAAAUUUUGUAUAAUGAUGUAUAUUUAUAUUUCGAAAGUAUUUUAUGUUUGGACAUAAAAGACAAGUUCCUUUGAUUCUGUGAACCAAAGAAAUGUGAAAAAAAGUUCUUUUAAAUGAUUAACAAGGAGCUCCUAGAUUCACUUUCUAUUUAAUCUUAAAAUGAUCUAAUGAUAUAGCAAUAUUCUAUAGUAUCAGACACACAGCCUGAGGGGAUUCUGUCAGCACGUCAGACCAGAAACCUUCUGAACUUCUCUGCAGAAUCUGGACGUUCCUCUGAUGUAGGGCUGCCACGAUUAGUCGACUAAUCGAUGACUAAUCGACCAUUAAAAUAGUCGACAACUAAUUUAAUAGUCGAUUAGUCGUUUCUUUGUAAUAUAUGGAGUCAGGCUGUAGUGAAGUUGAAAGUUAUAAUGACAUUCUGCAGCUUUUUAGACUAUUUUGGCAUUUAUUAAGGGUUUUCAGGCUAUUUUGGAGUUUAGCUAAUAUUUUAGCUUCAUGCUAGCUAUUUAUAAUUUGGAAUUAAGAUAAUAUUUCAGCUACAUAUUAGCUCUUUUGGCUAAUUUAGGAUUUUUUCAGUUUUUUA
ensembl:lncRNA